UAGGGAAUAUUGCUCAAUGGGCGAAAGCCUGAAGCAGCAACGCCGCGUGUGCGAUGAAGGCCUUCGGGUCGUAAAGCACUUUUCUGAGAGAUGAGAAAGGACAGUAUCUCAGGAAUAAGUCUCGGCUAACUACGUG
rnacentral:rRNA from 1 species